AGAGUUUGAUCAUGGCUCAGAACGAACGCUGGCGGCAGGCUUAACACAUGCAAGUCGAACGAGAAGCUUACUUCGGUAAGUGGACAGUGGCAGACGGGUGAGUAACGCGUGGCAACCUACCUUUUUCUACGGAACAACAGUUGGAAACGACUGCUAAUACCGUAUACGCCCUCCGGGGGAAAGAUUUAUCGGUGAAAGAUGGGGCCGCAUUAGAUUAGCUAGUUGGUGAGGUAAUGGCUCACCAAGGCGACGAUCUAUAGCUGGUCUGAGAGGAUGAUCAGCCACACUGGGACUGAGACACGGCCCAGACUCCUACGGGAGGCAGCAGUGGGGAAUAUUGGACAAUGGGGGCAACCCUGAUCCAGCCAUGCCGCGUGAAUGAUGAAGGCCUUAGGGUUGUAAAAUUCUUUCGCUAGGGAUGAUAAUGACAGUACCUAGUAAAGAAGCCCCGGCUAACUCCGUGCCAGCAGCCGCGGUAAUACGGAGGGGGCUAGCGUUGUUCGGAAUUACCGGGCGUAAAGCGUGCGUAGGCGGAUUAUUAAGUUAGGGGUGAAAUCCCGGGGCUCAACCUCGGAACUGCCUCUAAAACUGGUAAUCUAGAGAUAUGGAGAGGUAAGUGGAAUUCCUAGUGUAGAGGUGAAAUUCGUAGAUAUUAGGAGGAACACCAGAGGCGAAGGCGGCUUACUGGACAUAUACUGACGCUGAGGCACGAAAGUGUGGGUAGCAAACAGGAUUAGAUACCCUGGUAGUCCACACCGUAAACGAUGAGAGCUAGUUGUCUGCAGCAUGCCUGUAGGUGACGCAGCUAACGCAUUAAGCUCUCGCCUGGGGAGUACGGUCGCAAGAUUAAACUCAAGGGAUUGACGG
rnacentral:rRNA from 1 species